GCCUUCAAGUCAUUGACGAUGGCCUCGGUAGGAUUCUCAGCAACCCCAUGGAACUUCUUAAAUCCAGUCACAUGAAUAGUAACCCCUGCUAGUCCUUCAGAACCCAUUUCUUUCACUUGGGUCUGCAAACAAUUCCCCGUUGUUUGUCAACGACUUAUUUUUACUACUAAGUCCUCCCCUUCGAUGCCGGCGCCGGAAACGGAAGUUUGGUGAAUUUGAGAGCUGAAUUGGCGCUCUGAGGAGGUAGAGAAAGGCAAAAAUGGCUGCGGGUAAAGCAGAAGCUUGAUCCGAUUCCAACAUUAAUGCCGCUUACCAGGCUGUCACGGCGGCGGGC
rnacentral:misc_RNA from 1 species